GCACGCAGCCCCGCCUCCCAUGGGGACCUGGCCUGAGGAGCAGGGGCGGGAACUUAGAGACUAAGGCAGCGCGAAAGCAUCUGGUGUGUUCUAGCUUCCCUGAACAUGGUAAGCAAAAGCUGCCUCCCCACAGCACCUCUGGGACCCUCUGACAAGCCAGGUGCAUGCCUGGCCCAAGACAAGAUGCCUGGGCUUCCCUGCAGGUACCUGACCUGGGAGGGACAUGGCUACUGGGCAGUACAAGAUGCGGGCUCUCCUCCUUCUGGUCUCUGGGGACACGGGUUCGAGCCCUGGUCUGGGAAGAUCCCAUAUGCCGCGGAGCAGCUGGGCCCGUG